CACGUAGGCGGAUUAGUCAGUCAGAGGUGAAAUCCCGGGGCUCAACCCCGGAACUGCCUUUGAUACUGCUAGUCUUGAGUUCGAGAGAGGUGAGUGGAAUUCCGAGUGUAGAGGUGAAAUUCGUAGAUACUCGGAGGAACACCAGUGGCGAAGGCGGCUCACUGGCUCGAUACUGACGCUGAGGUGCGAAAGCGUGGGGAGCAAACA
rnacentral:rRNA from 1 species